AUAACUUAAGGCUCGGCCGUACCUAACGAAAUCUCGAAUUUAAGAAUUCUAAUCACUUUUUGAAUAUUUAUGGGACUCAGAUGAUGAAAAUCUUCUGAGAAAGUUCGUCUUGUACUUUUAGUCGGAAGCUAAGAAAAUUGCUGUUAUGAUAAUUAUUUAAUAAAUAACUAGAAUUCUUAAAUUCUUGAUUUCGUUAGGUCCGGCCCAGCCUUAAAGUUAACUUGUGGUUAAGGUGGCUAUCAGGGUAGUUGGAUAGACGAAGCGAUUAAUACUCAUGUAUAUAAUACUUGAAACCUCUCAUGCGUAUUAAACUUAAUAUAUUGCUGUCGUUGCACACAAAUCAACUUUAUUUGCAAACAUACUUAAGACGCGUUUUCAUUUGUUUCUCUAUUCGCACUCAACUGGAUAAACGGUACUAUCUCUGUUGCACUUGUACAUUAAAUAGGAACUUUGUCCAAGCUUUUCUCGUAAACAAAUGGAAGUUAUCAAAAAAUUCAAGUGCACUUCGCUAGUUCAUAGAGUAAAGCAUCGGGUCUGUGUCUUUAUUUUGCGUUUAGAGCUUUUAUUUCAGAGAAAAGCUGGGACAAAAUUAUCUGAAAACCGUUCUUAAGUUAAUCAAUACUAUAAAUUCACUUCAAAAACAAUGGUAAAAAGAUUUAGCUACGUCACAGUGUCUCUGAAUAUUUGUAAUUUACAAAGAGUUCAUAUCGAAGGUUGAUUAUUGAACGUCAAUUAUAAAAGGAUUAAAUGAUAACUAUUUAUGAAGCUACAAGCAGCUAUUAAAUGAUGAAAUUAAAGUCGAUUCGGCUAUAUUAUUUAUUUAAAGAAAUUUUCCAUAAUAUUGGAUGAGUAUAUUUUUCAAAUUUAAAAAAAAAAUAUCAUUAGUUUAAAUUUCUUUUUAUUCCUAUUGUAGAUUACAUUAAAAAUUUUACCAGAAAAAUAAAUUACAAGGAUACAAAAAAAAAAAAGUUAACUCAAUUUAAUUCGUAUUCACUGUAGAAGAUUAAUCGCACUUUUGUCACAUACGCAUCGAUGAUUCCAUAAUAUCGUAGAGUCUUUAUCAUCAGUACUUAUCUAUGGAAUAAUUAUUCAUUCACACCAGUAUUAUAAAUGUGAAGAUUUACAUUUAGUGCAAUAUGUUUGUUCAGAGAUAGAUUCAUGAUGUAUUAGCAAAUUUUCAAUCAGUGUACUGACAUCGUCUACACAGUCAAUAGUGUAAUCCUUUUCAGGGUACAUUUUCCGUAAGAAAUGAAGUCUUUUACUGUAGAAUUCCGCGGUGGCACCAUGUUCAGCAUAAAAUUGUUAGAUUUCUAAAAAUCAGGAGACGCGGUAGUAUCUCGCGCCAAGUACACGUUCAGACACAUGUAUAUGUGUGAAGUGUCAUGGCGCUAGCCUACCGUGUCUCUAUACCGUAGACAGAAAGGUAUUUAGCUCCAAUUUUUAAAAACUUUUUUAAAAAACAAAAUAUCUAGAAAAUUCCUUUUGCAAUCGAAAGAUGAUUGAUUGUUCGUCAUAAAAUUAUGAAACUUUACCAAUUUUAGUUACGAUCAGGAGACACGGUAGUAUCUCGCGCCAAGUACACGUUCAGACACAUGUAUAUGUGUGAAGUGUCAUGGCGCUAGCCUACCGUGUCUCUAUACUGUAGACAGAAAGAAAAGUGCAAGAGAAUAAGUAUAUUUACGAAUAUUUGAACGGUAAAUGUUAAGAUGUCGAUGUCAAUAAUAAAUAAAAAAUAAAGACUCAUCCAACAUUACGACGUGUCAACCGAAGCGCGCAAGCAAUAGCUAGUGCAUAUAUAUGUAUAUUCAUAUGUCCAUGGAAAUUCUGAAAAAAAAGAAAAGCAUACCCUUGGGUCAAAGGAGACGGAGGAUAAGUACUUUGCACCACUUGCUAGUUGUAAUAGAUGAAAGAUGCUGGAAGAGGGGUCAAACCACUAAACCAUUUGAUAUUUAAAAUUAUUAACAGAAAAGCCCGACGUUGAUGAAUAUAUUUGACGUUAAUUUUAAUGGGGACUGUCGUUAAAUAACUGCAACUAUUUGUCUUAUAAAAAUAGAUCAAGCAGGUUAUAAUGUUUGGCAGUACUAAAUUAUUAGAAAUAGAUUAACGUACUUUCCUCGUUUAAUUGGUUGACAUGAGGUACUGUUUGAAAUUUUUUUUCGUUUCACUGAUGUUUGGUUUUCGUGAAUUUUAAAUUGAAUUGGUUGCUCGUCUAGUACUAUUGAAAAACUAUUUUCUAGUUUUUGUUUAAAUGAUAUUUUUAAGGAUUUUAAUGAGUCAGAAAAUGAGUUAGGAGUGGAGCUGAAUUUCGGUUCAGACAAAUUUGAAUCAUUAUUGGAUGAAAUAUUACUUUCUUUCCUUGUACACAAAAAAACGUCUAAUGAUGAGUCAGAAGAAAUUUUAGCAGGUAUGUCGGAAGAUAUUUUGGCAGGUGUAUCGGAAGAAAUUCUAGCAGUUCCCUUGUGGAAAUAUUUUUCUUCGAGAACUGAGAAUACUUCUUUUAAAACUAAAAAUACAACUGUAAAAGUCUUCAUUUCUCUUAGAAAUUCAGAAUACCUAUUUUAAAGUCAAAAAAAUUCUGUGUUAGUCAUUAGAAGUCUAACAUUCUGUCAAAUUUGGGAGUCUUCUGGAAGAAUAAUAAAGAGCAAUUAAAACUUUUAGCAGAGAAGUGACAUGGCAUUGAAAAAAAAUUUCAGAGUUAGUUAGAGUUUUAAAAACUUCUGGUCAAAAAUUGAGAUAACAAUAUAAAUUAUUUUUCAGAUUUAUUCGGAGUUUUAAAAACUUCAAGGCCAAAAUUAAGAUAACAAUAAAAACAAAUUCUUCUGAUUUAUUCAGAGUUUUAAAAACUUUAAGGCAAAAAUUAAGAUAACAAUAAAAAAAAAUUUUUCAGAGUUAUUCAUAGUUUUAAAAUCUUUUAGGCAAAAAUUGAGAUAAUAAUAAAAAAAUUUUUUUCAGAGUUUCUCCUAAUUUUCAAUACUUUAAGGCAACUAUUGUAGUAAUAAUAAAAAAAGUGUUUUUUUUUUUGUUUUUUUGAGACUUCCAACAGAGAAUUCACGCCAUAAAUACAAAAAGUUUUAGAAUUAUCAAUAAAAAUUUAAGGAACUAAUGACCAUCACAAUUUCAAAUAAAAUAAAGUUAUAGUUUACCGAUAAUAAUAAUUAUUAUUAUUAAAAAAAAUUAUUAUAAUGUAAGUAAAAUUUAUU